rnacentral:rRNA from 1 species
GACGAACGCUGGCGGCGUGCCUAACACAUGCAAGUCGAGCGAGAAUCCGGUGAUUAUGCUUCGGUGUAAGAGCUGGAGGAAAGCGGCGAACGGGUGAGUAACGCGUGGGUAACCUACCCCGUACAGCGGGAUAACACCGGGAAACUGGUGCUAAUACCGCAUGAGGCAUACAUGUGGCAUCGCAAGUAUGUUAAAGGGGGAACCCGGUACGGAUGGGCCCGCGUCCAAUUAGCUAGUUGGUGAGGUAACGGCUCACCAAGGCGACGAUUGGUAGCCGAGCUGAGAGGUUGAUCGGCCACAUUGGGACUGAGACACGGCCCAGACUCCUACGGGAGGCAGCAGUGGGGAAUAUUGCGCAAAUGGGGGAAACCCUGACGCAGCGACGCCGCGUGAAAGGAAGAAGGUCUUCGGAUUGUAAACUUCUUUGACUGGGGAAGAAUAGAUGACGGUACCCAGGGAACAAGCCACGGCUAACUACGUGCCAGCAGCCGCGGUAAAUAGUCACGUCG